CUGUAAGCCUGUGAAGGUGUGCUGUGAGGCAUGCUGGAGGUAUCAGAAGUGCGAAUGCUGACAUAAGUAACGAUAAAGCGGGUGAAAAGCCCGCUCGCCGGAAGACCAAGGGUUCCUGUCCAACGUUAAUCGGGGCAGGGUGAGUCGACCCCUAAGGCGAGGCCGAAAGGCGUAGUCGAUGGGAAACAGGUUAAUAUUCCUGUACUUGGUGUUACUGCGAAGGGGGGACGGAGAAGGCUAUGUUGGCCGGGCGACGGUUGUCCCGGUUUAAGCGUGUAGGCUGGUUUUCCAGGCAAAUCCGGAAAAUCAAGGCUGAGGCGUGAUGACGAGGCACUACGGUGCUGAAGCAACAAAUGCCCUGCUUCCAGGAAAAGCCUCUAAGCAUCAGGUAACAUCAAAUCGUACCCCAAACCGACACAGGUGGUCAGGUAGAGAAUACCAAGGCGCUUGAGAGAACUCGGGUGAAGGAACUA
rnacentral:rRNA from 1 species